GGGGGCGAAACGGAUUCGACGGGGAUGUGUAAGCUUACUGUUGCAUGCCGAGCUUCUAUCUGCUCGUAAAACGGUAGAACCUAAAUAUAAUCGCAGACGAUUAUAACUACGCAGUAGCAGCUUAACCUGUCAUACUGCCGUUCCACCGGUUCUCGCCCAUAGAACUGGAUUCGGGGCGUCGACUCAAUGGGCUGGUCGCUUGAAGGCCGUCUGUCUUUCAAGGGACGAGAUUUAACAGGCUGGCUGCGGGAAAUCCAUGUUCCGACGGAGUUCCCAAAGUGAGAACCAAAGCACGGAACUAAGCAUGUAGAUACGGGAGGGGAGCAUUUUCGGACGCGGGUUCGACUCCCGCCGCCUCCACCA
rnacentral:tmRNA from 1 species